AGGAAGUGACAGAUCACCAUUUUGCAACAGAUGUAUUUCAGAGUCAACGAAAGUAUUCGUACGGAAAAGCGUAAAAUUCGCAACAAAUUUUGUCAGAAAUGGCCAAGAGACACUUUCCAUUUUCAGUGAUGUAUCUUUCUAUCAACUCUUUCUCGUUUGGCUCUACGGUUUACAGAUAAAGAAGCAUGUUUUGCAAGGGAAGUGGAUUAAAUGCAUAAGGAUCAGAGAUCGACUCGCGCUGGCCAAGAAGGGAGGAUGCUGAAAAUAUCGUCAUUUACAUGACUCCAUUGUGGAUCACGAAAAUUGUUAAUUAAGUUUAUUUCAAAUGACAUGUUUUGUUCACAAAUUGCAAAGAUGUAGUAAGCUAAGAGACAUUUGUACUUGAAGUACUUAAUUGCGAAGGAAAUGAAAAUUGCUCUCAUAAGUCAGAUUAAAGAUAUUUGAAUCCCUCUGAUAAUGUAGACUUUUCACUUAAAAACAAAAUGGGUGAUCCACACAACCGAAAAAAUUUAGCCGUUAAUCGAUUGAGGAAUCAAUUGAAGAAGAAGAGAGAGUCUUUGGCAGACCAGUUUGAGUUUAAAAUGUACAUUGUAUUUCACUUCAAAGAACAGGUAAAACACAAUGUUUUUGAGUGUUUACUUACUGUAGAUUCUUAAUUAAACGCAAGGAAUUAAUAUCUGCGUAAAAUUGCAAGAAGCACAUCUCGCGAAUUUUGAAAUCUCGCUUUUAUUUUUCGGACGUGUAAACUACAUGAAACUAUGAUAAAAAUCGUCAUUUGCGAUUUAAUGUUCUUGCCAUUUGAUGGAUAACGGUUGAAUCGCGGAAUUAAGUACAAAUUAAGUAUUAAGUGUAAAAUAAGGAAUCUACAGUAAUGUUUUGACACUCUUUGUUUAGGUUGGAUUUUUAGUGAAAUAAUUUUUUAAGAAAGUGAAGACUGUAACAGUAUAGUAUAGUAUAGUAUAGUAUAGUAAUUAGUAAAUUUAUUAAGAGACAAAUGUAUAUUGAAAAAGCAAGUUAAAACUAAAAUCUACUGCUGUGUUAAUUCAUUAACUAUAAAUGAUAACAUGUUCAAGUCGCUUAGAUAGAUUAAUCACACUCAUUUUACUUUGUAUUUAAAGAAAAAGUCACCAGCCCUAUUUGAAGUUUCUGAAGUUGUGCCAGUCAUGACUAACAAUUAUGAAGACUGCAUUCUUAAAGGCGUCCAGGAUAAAGCCUACUCAUUUGAAAGUUCCCAGGAACUGCUCGAAAAAGACAUAGUUCAGCUCCAUGCACCUCGCUGGCAUCCACUCAGACGCGAUAUCCUUGGCUGUACAACAGAUGUGGAUUUUCUUCUGUGGCCAAGAAAUGACAUAGAAAAAAUUGAAGGAAGAUUGUUUUCAAGAUGGAAAGGAGAAGACAUGAGUUUUAAACCAGUCAUGGAGGAUUUUGUGUACUUCCAUGAAGACUAUGACAAACAACUAGCACGUUUGGUCAACAAGAAGGAGAGAUCAGCAUUGAUUAUCAAUGACCCCAAACAGUCCAUGUUUUUGUUUUUGGAUAAGCAUCAUAUCCAGACAACUACAAACAAAAUGACUGUGUUUAAGCUGUCCAGUGUCUGCCUAUAUUUACCACAAAAUCAGCUGACGUUGUGGGGCCCUGGUACAAUCAAUGAUUUCCUGUCAACCCAUCUCAUGUGAUGUCAGCUUCAAGGGCUCACUAGUGUUAAGUGAAGCCCUUGCUCUUAAUAGUUGUCAAGAAUUUAGACAGUUUUUGAUUGUCUUUGUUAAAAUUUGCUUUUCAGGUUACAUUUCUUAUAAAAGAAAUAUUCAUGGAUACGUUUGCUUCAUGUGAAAGGCUGAAGUUAGGGAGAUGUACCUGUUUUUUGUUUUUUGAAUUUUUUAAAAGUGAAUUAUUUGCAAACACUUUGAGGAAAAACUCGCAUUGCUUUUGAUAUCACCUUUUAUUUCAAUACUGCUGUUUAUUUUUCUACACUGUAAAGUAUUUCUGCAUUCUCUUUUCUUUUCUAUGUUAGAUAAUCCAACAAUUAAUGUCCCUCUGUGAAGUAUUCAUUUGCUCUAUAUAACAAAAUUUACAGAAUCAGCUAAAGCCUCAAACUCGGUGUGUUUUUUCUGUUAUUUGGAGUUUUCUCCUUGAUUUUAUGUUUUUGUUUGCUCAGAAUUAUUAUCUUUGUUCUAUCAUUGCAAAUUUGAUUUUCAUACAAAUAGCCCCCUGAUUAUGGAAAAUGUUGUUGAAAGAUCAUCCAAAAUGAAUGAUGUAACAAAUAGAGUUGACAUUUCAAUUAAUAUGUAAGAAUGAUUCUAUAGCAUGAUGAAAACAAAAUAGUUAGUUUUCACAAAGUUACAAGAAGAGGAAAGCUCUGACAAAGAAAAUUGUUCUUAGUGAGGUACAGUCACAUUUUCAUGAUUUGAGAGGAGAGAUUUUGUAAUAUCUUUGAUAUUCUAAAUUCCAGUUCUUUUAUCUCUCAUUCUUGUGGCAUAGGAAUAAGGAUGCUGCUUGAGGCCUUGAGCCUAGCAUUGCUCAAAGUGGAUUCCAUCAUGAAAGUGUUGAUUUUAUUCAGGAUACAGUUAUUAUUUCUGUAGAAUGAACAACAUGAAACCAGUCAUCAAAUUUCCUCAUUUCAUUCUUCUGUAAUUGCUUUUAUUUGAUCUUACUGAUAAUAAAAGGGAACUUCAAACA
rnacentral:misc_RNA from 1 species